GUUGUCGUGGCCGAUUGGUGAAGGCGAUAGAAUUGUUAUCUUUUGUGAUCUUGCCGCGUAGGUUCGCAUCCUGGCGACAGUA
rnacentral:tRNA from 1 species